rnacentral:rRNA from 1 species
AUUCUGGCUCAGGAUGAACGCUGGCGGCGUGCUUAACACAUGCAAGUCGAACGGGAUCCAUCAGGCUUUGCUUGGUGGUGAGAGUGGCGAACGGGGGAGUAAUGCGUGACCGACCUGCCCCAUGCUCCGGAAUAGCUCCUGGAAACGGGUGGUAAUGCCGGAUGUUCCACAUGAUCGCAUGUGAUUGUGGGAAAGAUUCUAUCGGCGUGGGAUGGGGUCGCGUCCUAUCAGCUUGUUGGUGAGGUAACGGCUCACCAAGGCUUCGACGGGUAGCCGGCCUGAGAGGGCGACCGGCCACAUUGGGACUGAGAUACGGCCCAGACUCCUACGGGAGGCAGCAGUGGGGAAUAUUGCACAAUGGGCGCAAGCCUGAUGCAGCGACGCCGCGUGAGGGAUGGAGGCCUUCGGGUUGUAAACCUCUUUUAUCGGGGAGCAAGCGAGAGUGAGUUUACCCGUUGAAUAAGCACCGGCUAACUACGUGCCAGCAGCCGCGGUAAUACGUAGGGUGCAAGCGUUAUCCGGAAUUAUUGGGCGUAAAGGGCUCGUAGGCGGUUCGUCGCGUCCGGUGUGAAAGUCCAUCGCUUAACGGUGGAUCUGCGCCGGGUACGGGCGGGCUGGAGUGCGGUAGGGGAGACUGGAAUUCCCGGUGUAACGGUGGAAUGUGUAGAUAUCGGGAAGAACACCAAUGGCGAAGGCAGGUCUCUGGGCCGUUACUGACGCUGAGGAGCGAAAGCGUGGGGAGCGAACAGGAUUAGAUACCCUGGUAGUCCACGCCGUAAACGGUGGAUGCUGGAUGUGGGGCCCGUUCCACGGGUUCCGUGUCGGAGCUAACGCGUUAAGCAUCCCGCCUGGGGAGUACGGCCGCAAGGCUAAAACUCAAAGAAAUUGACGGGGGCCCGCACAAGCGGCGGAGCAUGCGGAUUAAUUCGAUGCAACGCGAAGAACCUUACCUGGGCUUGACAUGUUCCCGACGACGCCAGAGAUGGCGUUUCCCUUCGGGGCGGGUUCACAGGUGGUGCAUGGUCGUCGUCAGCUCGUGUCGUGAGAUGUUGGGUUAAGUCCCGCAACGAGCGCAACCCUCGCCCCGUGUUGCCAGCACGUUAUGGUGGGAACUCACGGGGGACCGCCGGGGUUAACUCGGAGGAAGGUGGGGAUGACGUCAGAUCAUCAUGCCCCUUACGUCCAGGGCUUCACGCAUGCUACAAUGGCCGGUACAGCGGGAUGCGACAUGGCGACAUGGAGCGGAUCCCUGAAAACCGGUCUCAGUUCGGAUCGGAGCCUGCAACCCGGCUCCGUGAAGGCGGAGUCGCUAGUAAUCGCGGAUCAGCAACGCCGCGGUGAAUGCGUUCCCGGGCCUUGUACACACCGCCCGUCAAGUCAUGAAAGUGGGCAGCACCCGAAGCCGGUGGCCUAACCCCUUGUGGGAUGGAGCCGUCUAAGGUGAGGCUCGUGAUUGGGACUAAGUCGUAACAAGGUAGCCGUACCGGAAGGUGCGGCUG